GAUGAACGCUGGCGGCGUGCUUAACACAUGCAAGUCGAACGGGAAUUACUUUAUUGAAACUUCGGGCGAUUUAAUUUAAUUCUAGUGUCGGACGGGUGAGUAACGCGUGGGUAACCUGCCUUAUACAGGGGGAUAACAGUCAGAAAUGGCUGCUAAUACCGCAUAAGCGCACAGAGCUGCAUGGCUCGGUGUGAAAAACUCCGGUGGUAUAAGAUGGACCCGCGUUGGAUUAGCUUGUUGGUGGGGUAACGGCCCACCAAGGCGACGAUCCAUAGCCGGCCUGAGAGGGUGAACGGCCACAUUGGGACUGAGACACGGCCCAGACUCCUACGGGAGGCAGCAGUGGGGAAUAUUGCACAAUGGGGGAAACCCUGAUGCAGCGACGCCGCGUGAAGGAAGAAGUAUCUCGGUAUGUAAACUUCUAUCAGCAGGGAAGAUAGUGACGGUACCUGAAUAAGAAGCCCCGGCUAACUACGUG
rnacentral:rRNA from 1 species